rnacentral:rRNA from 1 species
GCUUACGGCCAUAACCAACCUGGCUAUGCCCCGAUCUCGUCUGAUCUCGGAAGCUAAGCAGGUUGGGGCCUGGUUAGUACUUGGAUGGGAGACCGCCUGGGGAAUACCGGUGCUGUAAGCU